rnacentral:misc_RNA from 1 species
UGUGGGAGCGAGCUUGCUCGCGAUAGCGGUGUGUCAGUCUCCCUUCAUGUCGGCUGGUUAGUUGCUAUCGCGAGCAAGCUCGCUCCCACU